rnacentral:rRNA from 1 species
AUUGAACGCUGGCGGCAGGCCUAACACAUGCAAGUCGAACGAGUGGCGGACGGGUGAGUAAUGUCUGGGAAACUGCCUGAUGGAGGGGGAUAACUACUGGAACCGGUAGCUAAUCCCGCAUACCAUCAGAUGUGCCCAGAUGGGAUUGGCUGGUUGGUGGGGUAACGGCUCACCAAGGCAACGAUCCCUAGCUGGUCUGAGAGGAUGACCAGCAACACUGAACCUGAGCCACGGUCCAGACCCCUAGGGGAGGCAGCAGGGGGAAAUAUUGCAAAAUGGGCGCAAGCCUGAUGCAGCCAUGCCGCGUGUAUGAAGAAGGCCUUGGGGUUGUAAAGUACUUUCAGCGGGGAGGCGUUACCCGCAGAAGAAGCACCGGCUAACUCCGUGCCAGCAGCCGCGGUAAUU